ACGAUGAAGCUGGAGCUUGCUCCGGCAGAUUAGUGGCGAACGGGUGAGUAACACGUGAGCAAUCUGCCCUUGACUCUGGGAUAACUGCGGGAAACUGUAGCUAAUACCGGAUACGACGCCUUGGGGCAUCCCACGGGCGUGGAAAGAAUUUCGGUCAAGGAUGAGCUCGCGGCCUAUCAGCUAGUUGGUGAGGUAAUGGCUCACCAAGGCGACGACGGGUAGCCGGCCUGAGAGGGUGACCGGCCACACUGGGACUGAGACACGGCCCAGACUCCUACGGGAGGCAGCAGUGGGGAAUAUUGCGCAAUGGGCGAAAGCCUGACGCAGCAACGCCGCGUGAGGGAUGAAGGCCUUCGGGUUGUAAACCUCUUUUAGCAGGGAAGAAGCGAAAGUGACGGUACCUGCAGAAAAAGCACCGGCUAACUACGUGCCAGCAGCCGCGGUAAUACGUAGGGUGCAAGCGUUAUCCGGAAUUAUUGGGCGUAAAGAGCUCGUAGGCGGUUUGUCGCGUCUGCUGUGAAAAUCUGAGGCUCAACCUCGGACUUGCAGUGGGUACGGGCAGACUAGAGUGCGGUAGGGGAGAAGGGAAUUCCUGGUGUAGCGGUGGAAUGCGCAGAUAUCAGAGGAACACCAAUGGCGAAAGGCACUUCUCUGGGCCGUAACUGACGCUGAGGAGCGAAAGCGUGGGGAGCGAACAGGAUUAGAUACCCUGGUAGUCCACGCCGUAAACGUUGGGCGCUAGAUGUGGGUCACAUUCCACGUGAUCCGUGUCGCAGCUAACGCAUUAAGCGCCCCGCCUGGGGAGUACGGCCGCAAGGCUAAACUCAAGGANUGACGGGGCCCGCACAGCGGCGGAGCAUGC
rnacentral:rRNA from 1 species